rnacentral:rRNA from 1 species
UACAGAGGUCCCAAGCGUUGUUCGGAUUCACUGGGCGUAAAGGGUGCGUAGGCGGUCGGGUAAGUCUGAUGUGAAAUCUCACAGCCUAACUGUGAAACUGCAUUGGAUACUAUCCGGCUCGAGGAAUGGAGGGGAGACUGGAAUGCUUGGUGUAGCAGUGAAAUGCGUAGAUAUCAAGUGGAACACCAGUGGCGAAGGCGAGUCUCUGGACGGUUUCUGACACUAAGACUCGAAAGCGUGGGGAGCAAACAGG